rnacentral:rRNA from 1 species
AGAGUUGAUCAUGGCUCAGGAUGAACGCUGGCGGCGUGCUUAACACAUGCAAGUCGAACGAAGCACUUUAUUACGAUCCCUCGGGGUGACGAUUUAGUGACUUAGUGGCGGACGGGUGAGUAACGCGUGGGUAACCUGCCUUAUACAGGGGGGAUAACGUUUGGAAACGAACGCUAAUACCGCAUAAGCGCACAGAGUCGCAUGACUCAGUGUGAAAAACUCCGGUGGUAUAAGAUGGACCCGCGUCUGAUUAGCUAGUUGGUGAGGUAGAGGCCCACCAAGGCGACGAUCAGUAGCCGGCCUGAGAGGGUGAACGGCCACAUUGGGACUGAGACACGGCCCAAACUCCUACGGGAGGCAGCAGUGGGGAAUAUUGCACAAUGGGGGAAACCCUGAUGCAAGCGACGCCGCGUGAGUGAAGAAGUAUUUCGGUAUGUAAAGCUCUAUCAGCAGGGAAGAAAAUGACGGUACCUGACUAAGAAGCCCCGGCUAACUACGUGCCAGCAGCCGC